GGCUCACGGCCAGUCGCUGUACCCGCCGGCACUCCCCUACCUGGAAGAUGUCUGCAAGGUUGUCGAGGGGAGAGUGUCAACCACAGGACUUGGGCUCUUUUGGCUGUGAAAUGUGGAAACAGACCUCCCCAGCUCAUGAGGGCUCUGGAAAAUCUAGCACAAGGUGAACCCCACGCAGGAGGCACGCUGACACAUCCGAUUGGAACCUCAAAGACAGAACUCCCGGCAAGCCUGUGACCCUGGAGCACACAACUGAGCCCUGCAAACCCUCGGGCUCUUGUUUACAUCCUGCUUUUGCCAGUUUGCCUGGAACGGUCUUCACCCCAUUCUGUACCCUUUCCUGUCUCCCCUCUCCCAACUUGUUCCCCUCCCCUUUUCUGGUACAGUCUCCCCAUCUAUGACAUCAUCUGGAAGCCCAGCCCCACCCUUAAUUGUACUUUUGUGGCUGGCCUGUCUGCUCUGUCCAUCUUCAGAGUCCCGGCUUCCCAGUCUGUAAACCACCCUUGGGGCCAGCAUGGUGCCAGGCUGGCGCUGGAGCCCAGAACCCCUUAUUUACUGACCCCUCCCUGUGCUGAGGGCCCCACGGGCGCCCACUUGUCUGUCCCUGGCUAAGCCAGAGCCCAGGCUGGAGGAGACGCCGUGAGGACCCUAGAAGGGUGCCAGCCUCGUCCUCAGUUAUCAGACGUCUUCCCAGCCGCUUCACCCCCAAGUAAAUCGCUCUUGCCCAGCUCUCACCUGCCAUGAGGAAGUGGGUCCCAGCCCCUGGGGAUCCCCUCUCCCUACCUGUCCAGGCCUCACCCUCUUCUCAGGAGGCGACAGUUGCUGCACAGCGCCCCCUGGAGGCCUUGCCAAUCUGUCCCUGCUGGCAUCUUGGCCCCCAAAUGCUCUGCCAGCAACCCCACAGGCACUCGGGAGGAGGGCCCCGCUACUGCCCCCAGAAAAGAUGACAAAGCACUAGAAGCCAGCUUCAGCACAAUUAAAACUUUUUAAUGCAA